rnacentral:ncRNA from 1 species
GAUAACUGAUUUGAGGUAGUUACGUGUUUUAGGCAUGACAUUUUUUUUUAUUCAGAGAUGUUUGCUCUUCCCUUCAUCUUGAAGGAGACUUUACCAAGUGCUGUGUAUUUCAUCCACUAUCAGGGAACAUAAACUGCAUUUAGACUAUGGUUAGACAAGUU